rnacentral:rRNA from 1 species
GGCAGCAGCAGGGAAUCUUGUCCAAUGGGCGAAAGCCUGAGACAGCGACGCCGCGUGAGGGAUGAAGGCCUUCGGGUUGUAAACCUCUUUCAGGAGGGACGAAAUUGACGGUACCUCCAGAAGAAGCCCCGGCCAACUACGUGCCAGCAGCCGCGGUAAUACGUAGGGGGCAAGCGUUAUCCGGAAUUAUUGGGCGUAAAGCGUCCGCAGGUGGUCAGCCAAGUCUGCCGUCAAAUCAGGUUGCUUAACGACCUAAAGGCGGUGGAAACUGGCAGACUAGAGAGUAGUAGGGGUAGCAGGAAUUCCCAGUGUAGCGGUGAAAUGCGUAGAGAUUGGGAAGAACAUCGGUGGCGAAAGCGUGCUACUGGGCUGUAUCUGACACUCAGGGACGAAAGCUAGGGGAGCGAAAGGGAUUAGAUACCCCUGUAGUCCUAGCCGUAAACGAUGGAUACUAGGCGUGGCUUGUAUCGACCCGAGCCGUGCCGAAGCUAACGCGUUAAGUAUCCCGCCUGGGGAGUACGCACGCAAGUGUGAAACUCAAAUGAAUUGACGG